AUCAGAUAGACAAACAGAUGCUAGAACCUUCCUCACAUGCAUGCAUGUGGUGAUCAGAAUUCAUGUGAAGAGGUGCAAGAAUAACAUCCUUCUAAGAGAAUUUUAUCACCAUAUCAAGUUUUCUAAAAUUAGAAAUGAGUCCCCUAUCCACAUGGAUUUUUGUAGAUUUUUUUGAUUGGAGAAGGGAUGCGAAAACGUCCCUUCUCUAGUCGCACAUGUAGGUUCAGGUG
rnacentral:lncRNA from 1 species